GAUGAACGCUAGCGGCAGGCUUAAUACAUGCAAGUCGAGGGGCAUCAAGGUACACGAAAGUGUAUUGUUGGCGACCGGCGGACGGGUGAGUAAUAGGUAGGUAACCUACCUCAUACUGAGGCAUAGCUGGGAGAAAUUCCAGGUAAUUCCUCAUGAGGUUAUAUGACACAUGUGAUAUAAUCAAAGGUAUCGCAAGGUACUGGUAUGAGAUGGGCUUACUGACCAUUAGCUAGUUGGUGAGAUAAGAGCUCACCAAGGCGAAGAUGGUUAGGGGUUUUUGAGAGAGAGACCCCCCACAUUGGAACUGAGAGACGGUCCAGACUCCUACGGGAGGCAGCAGUAGGGAAUAUUGGGCAAUGGGCGAAAGCCUGACCCAGCCAUGCCGCGUGAAGGAAGACGGCCUUAUGGGUUGUAAACUUCUUUACUACGCGAAUAGAGGUUAGUACGAGAUACUAAUAGGAAGGUAGUGUAGUAAAAAGCACCGGCUAACUCCGUGCCAGC
rnacentral:rRNA from 1 species